UAAACAUUAUAAAGCGAAAGUGGAUGAACGCAACUGAAGUCUUGGGUUCAAUUGUUACGAUUUGUCCUCGUGUAAAUGCUAAUUUCAUGGACGAUCAUUACCAUGAGUUUCUCCCGUUAGAUCCCGCCAGUCCCUUGAACGGUUGGAUUCCUAGCAAGGUUCCUAAUUUGCUUCAAUAUUAACAAUGGAAACUACAUGGAUCAGUGACAUGGAGAUAGGUGGCUCGCAGUGGUGAAUCUUUAUGCAUUUGUUUUUGUGAGGAAUUGAAAUUUCGUUAAACUUGUUUCUUGUACUCGGGCAUUACAAAAAACAACCAUUCGAGACGUGUAUUAGUCGUGCAUGUCCUACAAAUUCAGUAUUUUAUAUAGGUAGA